ACUGAGACACGGCCCAGACUCCUACGGGAGGCAGCAGUGGGGAAUAUUGGGCAAUGGAGGAAACUCUGACCCAGCGACGCCGCGUGCGGGAUGAAGGAUUCGGGUUGUAAACCUCUUUUAUUAGGGAAGAAGCGAAAGUGACGGUACCUACAAAAGAAGCACCGGCUAACUAUGUGCCAGCAGCCGCGGUAAUA
rnacentral:rRNA from 1 species